GAGGACAGUGACCCUCUCUCUGUUGAGGUAUCAUGGGCUGUCAUGCAUUCUGACAGCAGCACAGCCUCACAGCCACAGGGGAGAGGAGAGAGAGGUGCCUCAUGCAGCUGAGCACAUCUGCUCUCUGUCCUGUCUGCCAGAGCAGGGUGUGAGGGAACACUGUGAGCCUGGGGGAGCCUGCCAAGAAACACACUAAAGCUGAGCCAGCUGGCCAAGGCUACCUGUUGAUGAUGAUCUCUGGUUGGUGAUGGAGUCCAUGGAUGGAGGAACUUCACAGGAUGUUGUUAGACAGACAUGUCUGGCUGAAGGAGGGAUGGCAGCUGUCAGCUGUGAGGUGAGGGCUCCUGUUUGUGCUGCCCAUGGCUUGGACAUGAUGGUCCUUCAAAAGAGAUGGUGAGAACAGGAAUGGCUUCAUGCUCAGAGCCUUGUUUCUGUGUUGUUUUUAUGCCGUGCAGAAGAGACAGCCUCUUAAAUGAACUGCCUGUAAGUAUCCUUGCACUUCUGCUCUUUCUCUUCGAGUACUCUUUCAUAUUGUUGUUG